AAUAAGUGUAGUUUUGCACUGUUCAUGUCCAACGUUUGACCAUUUGUCUUAUUUAAAAUUUUUUAUGAUUAGUAUUUUUUAUUAGAUGAUAAAACAUGAAUAGGACUUUAUAUGUGACUAUUUUUUUUUAACUUUUUCAUAAUUUUUUUCAAAUAAGACGGACGGUCAAACGUUGGAUACGGAUUCCCACGGCUGCACUUAUU
rfam:Oryza glumipatula chromosome 7, whole genome shotgun sequence.